UAAUUUUUCCCCACACACCAACUUGAGGGGUCUGCACAGAUCUGCAAGAAAAGAAAAGGAAAAGAAAAGAAAAAGAGAGAGAGAAAGGAGGAGUUAGAGAUUUUAAGAAGGAGAAGGAGGGAAGGGCUCUCGAUCUCAGGUCUCUUAUCAGAUCUAUUCAGAGGAUCAAGAGGAGCGGUCUGAGCAUUUGGAUCGUUCGUUUCAAGUAAUUAACGGGUAAGAACGCGAGGUAAGUCUGCGACCUCGUUUGUUUCGCCAUAGAUCUAUAAGUUUCGGAUAAUUUAGGUCUUAAUAAUCUAGUUGUAAGGAUUUUUCCAAUUUUUCGGAGGAAUCGUGGCCAUAAUCGAAUUGGAAAAUGAAAUCGAUAAUCGUCAACCUCGAUAAGAAACUGAAUCUUUUCUAAUUUUCGAUCUCGUUGUCGGUAUCAAAAAAUGCAAGAAAAAUAUAUCUAGAUAGUUCGACUUGAGAUCUUGAAUUCUCGUGAAGGAAUCGAAUUCAUUCGAGUUACGGAUUGAAAGAUAGAAAAAUCCAAAUUAAAUAGGUUGGUGUGGAAUUCGACUGGAAUCUGUAAAUGGGAUGAACUCAGGCAAUCGGCGACGAACACGUGGCGGCCGAACAGGAGGGAGACGCGUACGACUGCGACCCAGAAACCCAAACCGGAAACCGACCCACGGUCCAACCCGAAACCUACUGCCAGUCGCUGCACGCCACGUGUCAUGUCCUGAAAAAUAGAAGGGUAAAUCUGCGUCCACCGAGGUUCGAAGCGUGCCUCUGCCCGGGUUGUGCCGUUUAAAAUGAUGGGUUAAACAUUUGGAGAUGGGUUGGGCCGUUUUAAACAUUGGGAAAAAAAUAAAAAAGUAGAUAACAAACCCUAACCUUUUAGUUUCUGCCGCCGCGAGAACGGAAGGAGACGACCCUUUGUCUGGUUCUUCAAUCACUUCAUCCUCUUUGCCGACAAACCUAUGCCUCGUUUGGUAGUAAUCACUCGUGUGCAUCAAGGUGUUCCUUGGCUCGGUCUCGUUAGUCCUCUCUUCCCAGAAUAAUGGUUGUGUUACUCUCUGCAGGUGAGGUCUAAGGGUUCGUUGGAGGCUGACGUUUUUGAAGUCGCCGGAGUUUGGGUUACGGUCGCCGUAAAACUUGGUGAAAUUCGUGGGAGGCUGUUUUCCAAGUCGCCGGAGUACUCGCCGGAAAACUUCGGUGAGGCCUAAGGGUUUGGAGACUGACGCAUUCGAAGUCGCCGGAGUUUGGGUUACGCUCGCCGGAAAACUUUGGUAUUAUCCAUCUUUUUCAAUUUUUCUUUCUUCUCUGUCUGUCUUUGUCUCUUUUGUCUUAUGAAAAUGACAUCUAACCUCUCAUUUACAAAAGGUAGAUGAGAGUGAUGUUUAACUGAUUGGGUUUACAAAUUGAAUUGAGAGUGAUGUUUAACUCCUUAUUUACAAAUGUGAAUGGACAGUGACAUAUAACAUUUUCUUUGCUAUAAGGAGAAAUACACAUUAUUUCCCCUCUUCCAUUUUCCUCUCUUCUCUUUCCUAUAUAAGUGUAAAUUGAAGUGUGUAAGAAACACACCUCAAUCUGCACCUCUCAAUCUGCUCUCAAUCUGCUCUCAAUCUGCUCUCAAUCUGCUCUCAAUCUGCUCUCAAUCUGCUCUCAAUCCUGCUCUCAAUCUCGCUCUCAAUCUCGCUCGUUUAAGUUUCAAUCUCUGCAACUCCAUACGUCUUCAAAAUGUCUAGCCUUUUCAUCCUCUUCUUUAUUACAUUUUUUUGUACUACAUCCUCCAUCCUCCUGUAGUUGCAUUUCUUAUAAUGCAACCGUCUCAUUGGACGGGGAGGGAGAUUAUUUUAGCAGCGGCACCGAAUAACAGUAACUCCAGGUUUAACAUUCAUGUUAAACCUGGAAUGUAUUUUGAAUAUAUAAAAAUCGAAUCGUCGAAAACCUUCAUUACAUUGUGGGGUGAUGAUGCAUCUACCACAACUAUAGUAGGUAACCGAAGCCAGGCCACUGGCUUUGGAACAUCAGAUUCAGCCACCUUUGUUGUGGCUGCAAACAACUUUAUAGCUAUUUCUAUUACAUUUUCAAAUUCGGCUGGAGCUGGACCUAAACACUGCCAAGCAGUCGCUCUCCUAACGAGUGAUAAUGUAAAUUUAUUUGGAAACGCUCGUGC